rnacentral:rRNA from 1 species
GACGAACGCUGGCGGCGUGCUUAACACAUGCAAGUCGAACGGAAAGGCCCUGCUUUUGUGGGGUGCUCGAGUGGCGAACGGGUGAGUAACACGUGAGUAACCUGCCCUUGACUUUGGGAUAACUUCAGGAAACUGGGGCUAAUACCGGAUAGGAGCUCCUGCUGCAUGGUGGGGGUUGGAAAGUUUCGGCGGUUGGGGAUGGACUCGCGGCUUAUCAGCUUGUUGGUGGGGUAGUGGCUUACCAAGGCUUUGACGGGUAGCCGGCCUGAGAGGGUGACCGGCCACAUUGGGACUGAGAUACGGACCAGACUGCAACGGGAGGCAGUAGUGGGGAAUAUUGCACAAUGGGCGGAAGCCUGAUGCAGCAACGCUGCGUGCGGGAUGACGGCCUUCGGGUUGUAAACCGCUUUCGCCUGUGACGAAGCGUGAGUGACGGUAAUGGGUAAAGAAGCACCGGCUAACUACGUG